UACGAAGGAUGCAAGCGUUAUCCGGAAUUAUUGGGUUUAAAGGGUGCGUAGGCGGACUAAUAAGUCAGUGGUGAAAGCCUGCAGCUUAACUGCAGAAUUGCCGUUGAUACUGUUAGUCUUGAGUACAGUUGAGGUAGGCGGAAUGUGUCAUGUAGCGGUGAAAUGCUUAGAUAUGACACAGAACACCGAUUGCGAAGGCAGCUUGCUAAGCUGUAACUGACGCUGAGGCACGAAAGCGUGGGGAGCAAACAGGAUUAGAUACCCUGGUAGUCCACGCCCUAAACGAUGAUAACUCGCUGUUGGCGAUACACUGUCAGCAGCCAAGCGAAAGCAUUAAGUUAUCCACCUGGGGAGUACGACCGCAAGGUUGAAACUCAAAGGAAUUGACGGGGGCCCGCACAAGCGGAGGAGCAUGUGGUUUAAUUGGACUCAACGCCGGA
rnacentral:rRNA from 1 species